AGCAGCCGCGGUAAUUCCAGCUCCAAUAGCGUAUAUUAAAGUUGCUGCAGUUAAAAAGCUCGUAGUUGAAUUUCGGGACCAAUAUGCCGGUCGUGCCUCGGUACGUACUGGCAUCGUUGGUUUCUCCCUUCUGACGAACCAUGAUGUCAUUUAUUUGGUGUCGUGGGGAAUCAGGACUGUUACUUUGAAAAAAUUAGAGUGUUUAAAGCAGGCUCACGCUUGAAUACAUUAGCAUGGAAUAAUGAAAUAGGACGUUUGAUUCUAUUUUGUUGGUUUCUAGGAUCGACGUAAUGAUUAAUAGGGAUAGUUGGGGGCAUUAGUAUUCAGUUGUCAGAGGUGAAAUUCUUGGAUUUAUUGAAGACUAACUUCUGCGAAAGCAUUUGCCAAGGAUGUUUUCAUUAAUCAAGAACGAAAGUUAGGGGAUCGAAGACGAUCAGAUACCGUCGUAGUCUUAACCAUAAACUAUGCCGACUAGGAAUCGGACGAAGUUAAUUUUUAAUGACUCGUUUGGCACCUUACG
rnacentral:rRNA from 1 species